rnacentral:rRNA from 1 species
UGAAGAACUUGUCCAUCGGCGGGGGAUAGCCGGCCCAACGGCCGGGUAAUACCGCGUACGCCGGCGAGGGCGCAUGCCCAUGCCGGGAAAGCAGCAAUGCACCGAUGGAGAGCUUCGCGGCCUAUCAGCUAGUUGGCGGGGUAAUGGCCCACCAAGGCAACGACGGGUAGCUGGUCUGAGAGGAUGACCAGCCACAUUGGGACUGAGACACGGCCCAG